UACGGGGGGAGCAAGCGUUGUUCGGAUUUACUGGGCGUAAAGGGCGCGUAGGCGGCGCAACAAGUCACUUGUGAAAUCUCCGGGCUUAACCCGGAGCGGCCAAGUGAUACUGUCGUGCUAGAGUGCGGAAGGGGCUACUGGAAUUCUCGGUGUAGCGGUGAAAUGCGUAGAUAUCGAGAGGAACACCUGCGGCGAAGGCGGGACUCUGGGCCGAUACUGACGCUGAGGAGCGAAAGCGUGGGGAGCAAACAGG
rnacentral:rRNA from 1 species